GAUGAACGCUGGCGGUAUGCCUAACACAUGCAAGUCGUACGAGAGUUUUUAACUCUAGUGGCGGACGGGUGAGUAACACGUGAGAAUUUGCCUUUAGAGGGGGACAACAAUUGGAAACGAAUGCUAAUACCCCAUAUGCUUUCGAGUGAAAUGGAUUUUAUCCGCCUAGAGAGAAGCUCGCGGCUGAUUAGCUUGUUGGUAAGGUAAGAGCUUACCAAGGCGACGAUCAGUAUCUGGUUUGAGAGGACGAUCAGACACACUGGAACUGAGACACGGUCCAGACUCCUACGGGAGGCAGCAGUGGGGAAUUUUCCGCAAUGGGCGAAAGCCUGACGGAGCAAUACCGCGUGAGGGAAGAAUGCCUAUGGGUUGUAAACCUCUUUUUUCAGGGAGGAAUAAAAUGACGUGUACCUGAAGAAUAAGCAUCGGCUAACUCCGUG
rnacentral:rRNA from 1 species